AUGGCCUUCCUGCACAUGAACCCCAACGCUAGCCCGGGCCCUGAUGGUUUUGGGCCUUGCUUCUACAACUCGGCCUGGAAUUCCAUCAAGCGCAAUCUCAUUGCUUUCUUCCAUGACUUCUAUCAACUAACCUCUCAAACGGAGCGAUUUAACAAAUCUUUCAUUGUGCUUCUCUCAAAGAAAGAUGGUGCUAACUCCGCGCAUGCUUUUCGCCCAAUCUCUCUGCAAAACUGCCCAAUCAAAGGCAUCGCCAAGCUCCUCACCAAUCACCUAAAAACCUACAUCCCACUACUCGUGCACGGUGACCAAACUGGAUUUAUAUCUGGACGGUGUAUUGCUGAAAACUUCAUCUAUGCUGCUGAUUCUUUAAACUGUUGCCAUAAACGAAAAGCCGCUUCAAUGGUCCUCAAGCUUGAUUUCAGGAAGGUGUUCGACUCCAUUUCGUGGCCUUACCUGCUCAAAAUACUUCGCCAUCGGGGCUUUCCAGAUCGGUUCUGCUCCUGGAUUGAGGACUUGCUCUCUACCGGUAAAACUGCUGUCAUUCUUAACGGGGUACCUGGUAGCUGGAUUCAGUGUAAAAACGGCCUUCGGCAGGGUGAUCCCAUCUCGCCGUAUCUGUUCAUCAUCGUUGCCGAUGUUCUCCAACAGCUCAUCCUGUCUGCCGCCUCUGAUCCAACAAACGAGCUACACCACCCGGUCUACAAUGAUAUUCUGCCUUCCAUUCUGCAAUAUGCCGACGACACCCUUGUCAUUGCCCAUGCCUCCAUCACUGCUGCCCGCAAACUCAAGCAGCUUCUCGAUGAUUUUGCCUUGGCAACUGGCUUCUGUAUAAAUUUUGCCAAGACCACUUUUGUCCCCAUGAAUGUUGAUGACACAACCGCCUCCGCAAUUGCCCAAAUCUUUGGUUGUGCGAUCUCUAGCUUCCCCCAAACCUAUCUCGACCUACCCUUAUCCCCCACUAAGCUCCCCCCCCCCUCGGCCUUCCAGCCCCUCCUCUCCUCUUACCGAUCUUUCCUCUCGGGCCGGUGCGCAAAAUUGCUCAAUCGUGCGGCGAGGCUUGUGCUCAUCUCUUCUGUCUUAGACUCUCUCGCUACGUACUUCAUGUCGGUUUUCAAAAUCCCAAAGAAAACGCUAAAAGCUCUGGAUGCCAUUCGAUGCGCCUUCUUUUGGGCUGCUGAGGAGAUGUGCACGGGAUCCAAAUGUUUGAUUGCUUGGAAAAACGUUUGUAAACCAAAAAUUUUUGGUGGUCUAGGCAUCAAGAACCUAGCUGUUCAGAACGACUGUCUCCUUAUGAAGUUUGCUUACAAAUACCUAACCCAUGAAAAUACCAUCCGCCUGCCUUGGGUUGACUGGGUAGAUAAACAACACCUUUGCAGCCUCUCCCACUUGGCAUCAUGCCGAAACCCCUCGUUCCUAACUAAAAUUAUCCAAACACAGCUUCAAAUACUCCUCCCGAUCACCUUUGUCCUCACCAAUAAUGGUCAGAAGACUUUCUUCUGGCUUGACACCUGGUUAUUGCCAACCUCUAUAGCCACUGCUUUUCCGAGCCUUUACUCCCACUCUACAAAUAUCUUCAUCCCAGUGGUACAUAUCAUGCAAGACGGGAUACAGGCAAACCUCUCAAACAGGAUAACCUCGGCCGCCUCGCGCGAGCUAGAUGCUCUUUGCUUGUUGUUGCAGGAUGUUCGGUUGACGGUUGGCCAGGAUGAAAGGUUUUUGCUGCAUGGGCAAAGCUACUCGUCCAAAGCAGCAUACAAGAUUCGGAUGCAUGAAGACCUGGAGGACGAUCACGCUGAUCUCAUCUGGAGAUCAAGAGCGCCGCACAAGCUUAAACUGUUUGCCUGGCUCUUGUUUCGUGGCAGACUAAACACUAGAGCGAACCUGUCCUACAAACACAUGUCUGACUCCGCCAGCUGCCCGCGCUGUGCUGCUCUUUCUGAAGACACUUCUCACCUGUUCCUCGACUGCCCGCGUGCUGUGCAGAUUUGGGCACAACUAGGCCUCCCCACGACGCCCAGAUUCCAGGAUCUCUGGAUGGUUCAGCUCCCGCAUGAGCUUGAUUGCAGGGUGUGGCCGGAAGUGCUACUGGUAGUGCUCUGGCGAAUUUGGGACUCCCGCAAUGCUGUUGUCUUCCGUUCUGAAGAUCACUCUUCUCGUUUUACCACCCAGAACAUUGUAACUGACUUUGAGCUUUUUUCGCAUCGCCUGAGAGAUCAUGCUGACAAGGUAGCUGCCAGGUCUUGGCUUAGCUACCUUACCACACGGCUUGCCGUGCCCCUGUAA
rnacentral:rRNA from 1 species